rnacentral:rRNA from 1 species
UAGGGAAUCUUCGGCAAUGGGGGGAACCCUGACCGAGCAACGCCGCGUGAGUGAAGAAGGUUUUCGGAUCGUAAAGCUCUGUUGUUAAGGAAGAACGAGUGUGAGAAUGGAAAGUUCAUGCUGUGACGGUACUUAACCAGAAAGGGACGGCUAACUACGUGCCAGCAGCCGCGGUAAUACGUAGGUCCCGAGCGUUGUCCGGAUUUAUUGGGCGUAAAGCGAGCGCAGGCGGUUAGAAAAGUCUGAAGUGAAAGGCAGUGGCUCAACCAUUGUAGGCUUUGGAAACUGUUUAACUUAAGUGCAGAAGGGGAGAGUGGAAUUCCAUGUGUGACGGUGAAAUGCGUAGAUAUAUGGAGGAACACCGGUGGCGAAAGCGGCUCUCUGGUCUGUAACUGACGCUGAGGCUCGAAAGCGUGGGGAGCGAACAGG